GACAGAGGGUGCAAACGUUGUUCGGAAUUACUGGGCGUAAAGCGCGUGUAGGCGGCUCGGAAAGUCGGAUGUGAAAGCCCUGGGCUUAACCUAGGAAGUGCAUUCGAAACUCCCGAGCUUGAGUUCUGGAGAGGAAGGCGGAAUUCUCGGUGUAGAGGUGAAAUUCGUAGAUAUCGAGAGGAACACCGGUGGCGAAGGCGGGCCUUCUGGGACA
rnacentral:rRNA from 1 species